GUAGGCAGCGAGCGUUGUUCGGAGUUACUGGGCGUAAAGGGUGUGUAGGCGGUUGUUUAAGUUUGGUGUGAAAUCUCCCGGCUCAACUGGGAGGGUGCGCCGAAUACUGAAUGACUAGAGUGCGGGAGAGGUGAGUGGAAUUCCUGGUGUAGCGGUGAAAUGCGUAGAUAUCAGGAGGAACACCGGCGGUGUAGACGGCUCACUGGACCGUAACUGACGCUGAGACACGAAAGCGUGGGUAGCAAACAGGAUUAGAUACCCUGGUAGUCCACGCCCUAAACGAUGCAUAUUUGGUGUGGGUCAUUCAGUUGAUCCGUGCCGGAGCUAACGCGUUAAAUAUGCCGCCUGGGGAGUACAGUCGCAAGGCUG
rnacentral:rRNA from 1 species